CCCAGGAGCUGCAACUCGCCAUUAGACACCAACACCGCUUCUGGAGAGAUGCCUCAAGAAAAUUGCACUGUUUAGUCUCUUCAAGAAUCAGAAACAAUCUAGGGUUCCAACAAUCUCACCCUUCCAUCUUCUGGCAAACAGGUUAUUAGCAUCUUCCCUCUCAAAAAGUGGUAAUACUCGAACUCUUUCUUAUUAAAGUUAUUUCCAUUUGCUGAGUAAAUUUACAAAGCUACUGCCAGCACAAGUUGCAUAUGCUUUUUUGAAAUGUUAUACGCUACUGUCCGUUUGAUAUGCAUGUUACAAACAAACUUGGAACCACAAAUUGUAUUACUAUUCUUUUAUUUCUUCUUUGUCCCUAUAACCGUCCAGAUUCAGCGCACAUGGCGACUGAAAAAGAAUUAUCAAAACAAUAUGUACCUAUAAGCAAAGUAUCCAUUGCAAUGGGUCAUGAAAGUAUUGGUCACUAGAAGGGGUUCAAUAAUACCUUACAAGAAUCCGCAUCAUGAAGGCAUUUUCAGAACUGUCAUAUUAGUCGAUGAGGAGGGGACAAAGAUCCAGGAACCCUAUUUAAAAAACAUGUUGAAACAUGGAAAGAGUUCCUGAAACCAAAUAAGAGCUACUACAUUAUCAUGGUCGUUUGGAUCGGGUCAGCCCCAACUACUCCUCCGUGCACAAAGAAGUUGAAUUGGCUUUCACCGAUAACACAAUUGUAAAGGAGUCCGUACAUGACGUUCCCACAACAAAUUCUCAUAUGUCCCUUAAUUCACGAACUUACAGGAUACUUAGGAUCUUUCGCUCAUGAGUUUAAAUUGUUCACUGAGACAUUUUUGUAUAAGACAAGUACAAUCAUCUAUUUCCAGUUUGAUGUGUGAGAACUUGCUUUUUAAAUUAACUUAUUUGGGAGAUUCCGUUUAUGUCAUAGGAUGAGCCUUUAACUGCUGGAUCGAUUGAAAAAUAAAUGUUGUUCAUAUUUAUGGGUUCUGCUUAAAUUCAUGAAUGCAAUUAAAUUAUGUGUCUGGUGAAUACCACUGCUUUGUCCCUUAUGAUGUUUCUAAUAAAAAUCUAUGUGUCAAAUGGGUAGCAUGGUUAAUGCGAAUCAAUUGAACCCCCUUUUUCGUG